CUGACGGAGCAAUGCCGCGUGGAGGUGGAAGGCCUACGGGUCGUCAACUUCUUUUCUCGGAGAAGAAACAAUGACGGUAUCUGAGGAAUAAGCAUCGGCUAACUCUGUGCCAGCAGCCGCGGUAAGACAGAGGAUGCAAGCGUUAUCCGGAAGGAUUGGGCGUAAAGCGUCUGUAGGUGGCUUUUCAAGGUCCCGCCGUUCAAUCCCCA
rnacentral:ncRNA from 1 species